rnacentral:rRNA from 1 species
UACGUAGGGUGCAAGCGUUGUCCGGAAUUAUUGGGCGUAAAGAGCUCGUAGGCGGUCUGUUGCGUCGGCUGUGAAAACCCGGGGCUCAACCCCGGGCCUGCAGCCGAUACGGGCAGACUAGAGUUCGGCAGGGGAGACUGGAAUUCCUGGUGUAGCGGUGGAAUGCGCAGAUAUCAGGAGGAACACCGGUGGCGAAGGCGGUUCUCUGGGCAUGUCCUGACGCUGAGGAGCGAAAGUGUGGGGAGCGAACAGG